AGCCUCCUUUGUGUUUAGUUCUUCAGGUAUGGUGUGAGAAUAACGGUUGUAGCUGUUUCACGGGGUCUUCACAAGAAUGACGGCAUCUAAUGCUUGCAGACCUCUCCGCCCCUGCUCUGCAUAACAGUAGCCCCUGCUGUAUGCAUACAUCCACACCUAUGUGCUGAGUCACCAGCUCUGAAGCCUUCACCUCUCGGAGCUGCCUCCCGGAUCCACAUUAACCACCACGCCCAGGUAAUCUGGAGACCACACUUUGAGAAGCACUGUUCUGGAAAGAUCAUGAGCAGAGGAAGCGAGACAGCUGGCUGUGCUUAGCCCUUGCUCCUCUCCUGGCCAAUUUAGGAGAAGGAAAGAUGGUGUCCAAAUCACUGAUGGUGAGAAAGUCAAACAGAAGGCUGCCAUUUUUAAAAAUGAAGAAAGGUUAAAC
rnacentral:lncRNA from 1 species